ensembl:lncRNA
CCCACAUCCCGUAACCCCAUAACCACACUUUUGAGGGGGAGAAACGCCUUUAUUUGGGGAUCCAUUGAAUGUUGUGGGGCGCUGUGGGGCACAGUGCUCUAUGGGGCAGCCCCACACAUCGCUAUGGGGCAGAGCACGCUAUGGGGCAGCCCCACACGUCGCUAUGGGGCAGAGCACACUAUGGGGCAGCCCCACACGUCGCUAUGGGGCACAGUGCUCUAUGGGGCAGCCCCACACCACCCUAUGGGGCAGCCCCACGCGUGGCUAUGGGGCACAGCACCCUAUGGGGCAGCCCCACACAUUGCUAUGGGGCAGAGCACUCUAUGGGGCAGCCCCACGCGUGGCUAUGGGGCACAGCACCCUAUGGGGCAGCCCCACAUGUCGCUAUGGGGCAGCCCCACACCUCUCGUCUUCGUUGCCGUCCAUUGGCAGACCCUACAAAGAGAAAGCAGAGCUGUGAGCCCCCACCCCACAGACCCCAUUUGGGGGGGGUCCCCCCCUCCCCCCCCCCCACGGCCCUAUGGGGGUCCCUAUGGGGGGGGGGGGGUCUGCCACCCCAUAUCUCUAUAUGGGAUCGUAAGGGGGGGGGUGGGACUCAAUGGGGUCCCUAUAGGGGUCCGAUGGGGGGGGGUCCCAAUCCCAUAUCCUUAUGGGGUCCUUAAGGGGGGGUCCCCAUUCCUGUGAUCCUAUUGGGGGAGGGGGCAGAUCCCUGUGUUCCUAUAGGGGUUCAAUUAUGGGGGGGGUCCCAAUGGGGGUCUCUAAAGGGGGGGUCCACACUCUCAUAUCCCAAUUGGGGUCUUUAAGGGGGGGGUCUCAAUCCUAUAUCCUUAUGGGGUCCUUAAGGGGGGGUCCCCAUUGCUGUGAUCCUAUAGGGGGGGGGUCAGAUCCCUGAGUUCCUAUAGGGGUCCAAUAAUGGGGGGGGUCCCAAGGGGGGGGGGUCCACACCCUCAUAUCCCUAUAAGGGGCUUUAAGGAGGGGGGUCUCAAUCCCAUAUCCUUAUGGGGUCCUUAAGGGGGGUCCCCAUUCCUGUGAUCCUAUUGGGGGGGGGCAGAUCCCUGAGUUCCUAUAGGGGUCCAAUAAUGGGGGGGGUCCCAAUGGGGGUCUCUAAAGGGGGGGUCCACACCCUCAUAUCCCUAUGGGGGUCUUUAAGGGGGGGGUCUCAAUCCCAUAUCCUUAUAGGGGUCCUUAAGGGGGGGUCCCCAUUCCUGUGAUCCUAUUGGGG